rnacentral:rRNA from 1 species
UACCAGCACCCCGAGUGGUCGGGACGUUUAUUGGGCCUAAAGCAUCCGUAGCCGGUUCUACAAGUCUUCCGUUAAAUCCACCUGCUUAACAGAUGGGCUGCGGAAGAUACUAUGGAGCUAGGAGGCGGGAGGAGGCAAAGCGGUACUCGAUGGGUAGGGGUAAAAAUCCGUUGAUCCAUUGAAGACCACCAGUGGCGAAGGCGGCUUGCCAGAACGCGCUCGACGGUGAGGGAUGAAAGCUGGGGGAGCAAACCGG